rnacentral:rRNA from 8 species
AAAUUGAAGAGUUUGAUCAUGGCUCAGAUUGAACGCUGGCGGCAGGCCUAACACAUGCAAGUCGAACGGUAACAGGAAGCAGCUUGCUGCUUUGCUGACGAGUGGCGGACGGGUGAGUAAUGUCUGGGAAACUGCCUGAUGGAGGGGGAUAACUACUGGAAACGGUGGCUAAUACCGCAUAACGUCGCAAGACCAAAGAGGGGGACCUUCGGGCCUCUUGCCAUCAGAUGUGCCCAGAUGGGAUUAGCUUGUUGGUGAGGUAACGGCUCACCAAGGCGACGAUCCCUAGCUGGUCUGAGAGGAUGACCAGCCACACUGGAACUGAGACACGGUCCAGACUCCUACGGGAGGCAGCAGUGGGGAAUAUUGCACAAUGGGCGCAAGCCUGAUGCAGCCAUGCCGCGUGUAUGAAGAAGGCCUU